GUUAAUAUAGUUUUAUUAAAACAUUAGAUUGUGGCUCUAAAAAUAGGAGUUAAAACCCCCUUAUUAACC
rnacentral:tRNA from 1 species